GUGGGGGAUAUUGCGCAAUGGGGGGAACCCUGACGCAGCAACGCCGCGUGAUGGAAGAAGGCCUUCGGGUUGUAAACAUCUGUUGCAAGGGAAGAAAAAAAUGACGGUACCUUGUGAGGAAGCCACGGCUAACUACGUGCCAGCAGCCGCGGUAAUACGUAGGUGGCGAGCGUUGUCCGGAUUUACUGGGUGUAAAGGGCGCGUAGGCGGGUUAGCAAGUCAGUCGUGAAAUACCGAGGCUCAACUUCGGGGCUGCGAUUGAAACUGAUAAUCUUGAGUGUCGGAGAGGAAAGCGGAAUUCCUAGUGUAGCGGUGAAAUGCGUAGAUAUUAGGAGGAACACCAGUGGCGAAGGCGGCGUUCUGGACGAUAACUGACGCUGAGGCGCGAAAGUGUGGGGAGCAAACAGGA
rnacentral:rRNA from 1 species